AAUGAACGCUGGCGGCGCGCCUAAUACAUGCAAGUCGAGCGAGAAGACGUAGCAAUACGUUUGUAAAGCGGCGAACGGGUGAGGAAUACAUGGGUAACCUACCCUCGAGUGGGGAAUAACUAGCCGAAAGGUUAGCUAAUACCGCGUACGCUCCUUGGACUUCGGUUCAGGGAGGAAAGCGAUACCGUGGGUAUCGCGCUCUUGGUUGGGCUCAUGUCCUAUCAGCUUGUUGGUGAGGAACGGCUCACCAAGGCUUCGACGGGUAGCUGGUCUGAGAGGACGAUCAGCCACACUGGCACUGCGACACGGGCCAGACUCCUACGGGAGGCAGCAGUAAGGAAUAUUGCGCAAUGGGCGAAAGCCUGACGCAGCGACGCCGCGUGGGGGAUGAAGGUCUUCGGAUUGUAAACCCCUUUCGGGAGGGAAGAUGGAACGAGCAAUCGUUCGGACGGUACCUCCAGAAGCAGCCACGGCUAACUUCGUGCCAGCAGCCGCUGUAAC
rnacentral:rRNA from 1 species